CCGGUUUAAGCGUGUAGGCUGGUUUUCCAGGCAAAUCCGGAAAAUCAAGGCUGAGGCGUGAUGACGAGGCACUACGGUGCUGAAGCAACAAAUGCCCUGCUUCCAGGAAAAGCCUCUAAGCAUCAGGUAACAUCAAAUCGUACCCCAAACCGACACAGGUGGUCAGGUAGAGAAUACCAAGGCGCUUGAGAGAACUCGGGUGAAGGAACUAGGCAAAAUGGUGCCGUAACUUCGGGAGAAGGCACGCUGAUAUGUAGGUGAGGUCCCUCGCGGAUGGAGCUGAAAUCAGUCGAAGAUACCAGCUGGCUGCAACUGUUUAUUAAAAACACAGCACUGUGCAAACACGAAAGUGGACGUAUACGGUGUGACGCCUCCCCGGUGCCGGAAGGUUAAUUGAUGGGGUUAGCGCAAGCGAAGCUCUUGAUCGAAGCCCCGGUAAACGGCGGCCGUAACAAUAACGGUCCUAAGGUAGCGAAAUUCCUUGUCGGGUAAGUUCCGACCUGCACGAAUGGCGUAAUGAUGGCCAGGCUGUCUCCACCCGAGACUCAGUGAAAUUGAACUCGCUGUGAAGAUGCAGUGUACCCGCGGCAAGACGGAAAGACCCCGUGAACCUUUACUAUAGCUUGACACUGAACAUUGAGCCUUGAUGUGUAGGAUAGGUGGGAGGCUUUGAAGUGUGGACGCCAGUCUGCAUGGAGCCGACCUUGAAAUACCACCCUUUAAUGUUUGAUGUUCUAACGUUGACCUGUAAUCCGGGUUGCGGACAGUGUCUGGUGGGUAGUUUGACUGGGGCGGUCUCCUCCUAAAGAGUAACGGAGGAGCACGAAGGUUGGCUAAUCCUGGUCGGACAUCAGGAGGUUAGUGCAAUGGCAUAAGCCAGCUUGACUGCGAGCGUGACGGCGCGAGCAGGUGCGAAAGCAGGUCAUAGUGAUCCGGUGGUUCUGAAUGGAAGGGCCAUCGCUCAACGGAUAAAAGGUACUCCGGGGAUAACAGGCUGACACCGCCCAAGAGUUCAUAUCGACGGCGGUGUUUGGCACCUCGAUGUCGGCUCAUCACAUCCUGGGGCUGAAGUAGGUCCCAAGGGUAUGGCUGUUCGCCAUUUAAAGUGGUACGCGAGCUGGGUUUAGAACGUCGUGAGACAGUUCGGUCCCUAUCUGCCGUGGGCGCUGGAGAACUGAGGGGGGCUGCUCCUAGUACGAGAGGACCGGAGUGGACGCAUCACUGGUGUUCGGGUUGUCAUGCCAAUGGCACUGCCCGGUAGCUAAAUGCGGAAGAGAUAAGUGCUGAAAGCAUCUAAGCACGAAACUUGCCCCGAGAUGAGUUCUCCCUGACCCUUUAAGGGUCCUGAAGGAACGUUGAAGACGACGACGUUGAUAGGCCGGGUGUGUAAGCGCAGCGAUGCGUUGAGCUAACCGGUACUAAUGAACCGUGAGGCUUAACCUG
rnacentral:rRNA from 1 species